rnacentral:rRNA from 1 species
CGGGGAGGUAGUGACGAAAAAUAACGAUACGGGACUCAUCCGAGGCCCCGUAAUCGGAAUGAGUACACUUUAAAUCCUUUAACGAGGACCAAUUGGAGGGCAAGUCUGGUGCCAGCAGCCGCGGUAAUUCCAGCUCCAAUAGCGUAUAUUAAAGUUGUUGCGGUUAAAAAGCUCGUAGUUGAAUCUGUGUGUCACAGUGUCGGUUCACCGCUCGCGGUGUCUAACUGGCAUUAUGUGGUACGUCCUACCGGUGGGCUUAGCUCCUCGCGGGCGGUCCAACUAAUCUCCCAUCGCGGUGCUCUUCAUUGAGUGUCGAGGUGGGCCGGUACGUUUACUUUGAACAAAUUAGAGUGCUCAAAGCAGGCUACCUUCGCCUGAAUACUGCGUGCAUGGAAUAAUGGAAUAGGACCUCGGUUCUAUUUUGUUGGUUUUCGGAACCCCGAGGUAAUGAUUAAUAGGGACAGAUGGGGGCAUUCGUAUUGUGACGUUAGAGGUGAAAUUCUUGGAUCGUCGCAAGACGGACUAAAGCGAAAGCAUUUGCCAAAAAUGUUUUCAUUAAUCAAGAACGAAAGUUAGAGGUUCGAAGGCGAUCAGAUACCGCCCUAGUUCUAACCAUAAACGAUGCCAGCUAGCGAUCCGCCGAAGUUCCUCCGAUGACUCGGCGGGCAGCUUCCGGGAAACCAAAGCUUUUGGGUUCCGGGGGAAGUAUGGUUGCAAAGCUGAAACUUAAAGGAAUUGACGGAAGGGCACCACCAGGAGUGGAGCCUGCGGCUUAAUUUGACUC